UACGAAGGGGGCUAGCGUUGUUCGGAAUCACUGGGCGUAAAGCGCACGUAGGCGGAUUGUUAAGUCGGGGGUGAAAUCCUGAGGCUCAACCUCAGAACUGCCUUCGAUACUGGCAAUCUCGAGUCCGGAAGAGGUUGGUGGAACAGCUAGUGUAGAGGUGAAAUUCGUAGAUAUUAGCUAGAACACCAGUGGCGAAGGCGGCCAACUGGUCCGGUACUGACGCUGAGGUGCGAAAGCGUGUGGAGCAAACAGG
rnacentral:rRNA from 1 species